rnacentral:lncRNA from 1 species
CUGGAAGGCAAGGACUAAGGUGAAAGCUGACUGCCCGCACCGCCCCAGGCGCACUGGGUAGGACUGAAAGGCAGGGACUAAGGUGACAGCUGACUCUGCCGGGGCGGAGUGCGUGUCCUCCCACCGUGCUGGCGCUGAACUGACUGUCCGCUGCCAAGGGAAGUGACAGCCGCAGCCGGGCUCUCAGCCAGCGGCCAGGCGCCCCGCGGACCAUGCUCUCCAGUACGCAGAACGCGGGCGGCUCCUAUCAGCGGGUCCGCGGGGCGCUUGAUACACAGAAAUGCAGUCCAGAGAAAAGUGCCUCAUUUUUCAGUAAAGUGACAUAUUCCUGGUUUAGCAGAGUAAUUACUUUAGGCUAUAAGAGACCUUUGGAAAGAGAGGAUCUUUUUGAACUAAAGGAAAGUGAUUCCUUCUGCACUGCGUGUCCCAUCUUUGAAAAACAAUGGAGAAAGGAAGUUUUAAGGAAUCAAGAGAGGCAAAAAGUAAAGGUAUCUUGUUAUAAAGAGGCACAUAUCAAGAAACCAUCUCUACUCUAUGCAUUGUGGAACACCUUUAAAUCCAUCCUGAUUCAAGUUGCCUUAUUCAAAGUGUUUGCUGAUAUUUUGUCCUUCACUAGCCCACUCAUAAUGAAGUAAGUUAAAGUCUGGUGGGUUUUUUUUCCCUCCUCACAGAUAAAUGAAAAGUAAGUAUUCUAAUAUAAAAGUUCUAAUACAAAAGAGUAGAGAAGGUUCUUAUUGCAAAUAUUAUUAGGAUGUGGACAUGCUAUUAGGGUUAUCUACAAUAUAAAUGGGAAUUAGGAUAAUAUAGUCAAUAUCUAAUAAAGUCAACCCUGUACUAAGCACUGCUCUAAAAUCUUAUAUUAAUUUUAUUAAGCAAGGGUUCGCCAGAGAAACAGAACCAAUAGGAUAUAUAAGCCCAAAUAAGAGGGGAUUUAUUAUGGGAAUUGGCUCUCGCAAUUAUGGAGGCCAAGAAGUCCCACAGUCUUGCAUUUGCAAGCUAGAGACUCAGGAAAGACAGUGGCAUAAUGCAGUCUGAGUCCAAAGGCCAGGUAACCUUGAGUUCUGACGUCCACGGGCAGGAGAAGGUGGAUAUUUCAGCUCCAGGAAAGAGAGCUAAUUCACUCUCUCUUUACCUUCUUGUUCUAUCCAGGCCCUCAACAAAUUGGAUGAGGCACUAUGCCCUGGGAUCAUCCUUACUCAGUCUACUGAUUCAAAUGCUAAUCUCUUCCAGAAACAGCCUCACAGACACACCCAGACAUCUGGUAGAUGGUAAAACAUUAUUUAAAUGUUAUUAAACAGAAAUAAUGUUUUACCAUCUCUUCACCAGUCAAGUUGACACGUAAAAUUAACCAUCACAUUGGUAAUCUCAUUUAAUCUUUACUACACUCCUGCAACAUAGACAGUAUUAUUACAUUCAGUAUUACAAUGGCAGAAACAGACAGAAAGGGUGGAGUAAUUUGUCCAAGUCCCCACAGCUAGAAAGUGCCAGAGUCGUAAUUGAAAUCUAGGAAGUCUCGCUUGAAUGUAUGCGAUACAUAUUUUCACUACGAUACUUAGUUGUGGCCUUUUGAGAGUUGAGCUUUAACAGCCAUGGCAAUUACACACACACACAAACAUACACUCACACACACAAUUACUAUGUAUAACAUAUAUGAACAUAUAUUAUUAUUACCUAAUAUAUGUAUAUUUCUGUGCAUCUCUAUAUCUAGAUAUGGACAUAGUAAAAUGACUUGAAACAUUUCUAUAAUAUCUACCUGCAAUGGUUUACAGGCAGACAAUGAAAUUGAUCUUUUGACUGUGCCACCUUUUUCAAGGAAACCUUGACUUAUACCUAGCUGUCAUAUGAAGGAAAUGCAAAGAAACAUAUAUUUUAUUAACUGGUGAUUAUAUUUUUACUAUUGAAAAAUUUCCAAGUUGUUAGAGUUUUUAAUAACCAUUUAAUUCAUGAAAAUAUCAUUAAUCCUGCAUUACUUAGAUCCCAUAUGAUAUUCAGGAAUAUAUUCAUUCAAUAUUUAUUGAGCACCUAUGCAUGCCAAAACUGUUCUAGGUCGACUGCGGGGACAGAACAAAAAUCAAAACAAAGAACCUGCUCUGAUGACACUUAGAGGGGAGAGAUGAAAGCCAAACAAAUGAAUAAACAUAAAUGAUACCAUCAGUGCUUAGGAACAAAGUAAAGUAGGGUAAGGGAAUGCCAGUCUGAGGAGUUAGAAGUUACCGUUUUAUGUAAGGUAAUUAUGAAAGACAUUGGUGAUAAGGUGACAUUUGGUCACAGUUCUGAAGGAAGUUAGGGAGGAAGCCAAGAAAAUAUCUAUUGUGAUUAAAGGUAGCAGGAAGGGCAAAAGUCAUGAAGAAGCUCAUGCUUGAUAUCUCUGAGGGCCUGCAAGGAGGCAAAGUGAGGUUGGAGCAGAGAGCUGGAAAGGUAAGACUGAGGUCAGAAAGGUGCAGAGAUGAAAAGAUUUUGAAGGACCUUAUGAAAUAUGAUGGGAAUAUUGGCUUUUAGUCCACAUUAGCAGGGAAGAAUUUGGAAGAUUUUGAGCAAAAAAACAAUGAUCUGCUUAGACUUAAGUCUUAUAGGAAUGACUCUGGCUGCUAUGUGGGGAAUAAAAUCAAGACGUGCAAGAGUGGAAGAAGAAACACCAGUUAGAAGUUUGUUUGCGAUAAUCCAAGCAAAAGUUAAUGGUGGCUUCAACUAGGUAGUAGCAAUAAGGGUGAUAAGAAGUGGUCAGACUCUGGUUGUGUUUUAAAGGUAGAGUUAACAGAAUAUACUGGUGGACUGAAUGUAGGUUGAGAGAGGAAGCGAGAAGUUAAGGAUGCCUUCAAAAUUUUUGUUUAGAUCAUCAGGUAAAUGAGUCAGCAUAUCCUUGUAGUAUGUCACAGUAUACGCCCAAAUUGUUUUCACCAUAUUGCAUGUGCUAUAUAGCCUUUUAAAUUUAACACUAUUUUCAGUCGCAUUGAUGCAGUUUUAAAAAGGUGAAAUCAUGCUUAAAAUAUUAUUACCAGUGAACAUCAGGCACUCUGAGUUUUAGACAAUGUUUAUAGUUGAGGGACUAUCAGCCGAGAUACUUGUAAUUAGAACCAUCCCCACUGUUUUUCUGCUCCCCAGCAUUGGCCCUAAUCAUCCUGAUCAUGCUGUCACAAACUUAAGAGGAAAUAAGGAAAAGGAGAGAAAAAAGAAAUUGGUUAUGAAUAAAAGUGACAAUAAAACAUGAGAUAUAAAUCAAGCUUAAAAAAAAAAAGCAGCACCUGUGGGCCAUACUAAAAGAUCCCCUACUUACGUUCUGGUUGUCAUGUUUCCCUGUAUUUGAUAAAACACAUAAUUUUGAGAAAAAUAAAGUUUUAAAUGUAUCUAUGUCUCGACUUUUCUGAUGAAGUUAUACCAGAAAAGUUAAUUAUUUGAUGGGCCUGCCAUGUGAAAACCAGAAAAUAACCUCGUACUCACAAGCCAGUGGAAGGGAUUCCUGAUUUUACUAAAAAAAAAAAAAAAAAAGAGAGGGCGGGGACAAAUAUCAAAUUAAGCAAGUAAAGAAAAAGAACAGGUAAGAGUGUGUGUGUGUGUGUGUGUGUGUAACACUUUGACAAUACUAAACUCUCAUAAGCAUUUAACACUUCAGAUGUUUAACAUUUCUGCCCCUUUCUCAAUUUUUAUGACGUGCAGGCAAAUUAUCAUUUUCUGUGAACACAGCUCAGAUUUUGGCUGGAAUGGCUAUGGCUAUGCAGUGGCACUUCUUGUUGUAGUCUUUUUGCAAACUCUGAUUCUUCAGCAAUAUCAACGUUUUAACAUGCUCACCUCAGCAAAAGUUAAGACAGCUGUAAAUGGACUGAUCUACAAAAAGGCCUUACUUUUAUCAAAUGUUUCUCGACAAAAGUUUUCCACUGGGGAAAUUAUUAACUUGAUGUCAGCAACUCAUGGACUUGACAGCAAACCUCAAUCUCCUCUGGUCUGCCCCUUUUCAAAUCCUAAUGGCCGUAUAUCUCCUUUGGCAAGAGCUGGGUCCAGCAGUGUUAGCAGGGGUGGCAGUCCUUGUGUUUGUUAUACCAAUAAAUGCUUUAGCUGCAACUAAAAUAAAAAAGUUAAAGGUAA